rnacentral:rRNA from 1 species
CCUUUGGGUGGGGAAUAACACCUCGAAAGAGGUGCUAAUACCGCAUAACGCAGCGGCACCGCAUGGUGACAGUUGUUAAAGCGGGGGAUCGCAAGACCUCGCGCCUGAAGAGAAGCCCGCGCCCGAUUAGCUAGUUGGUGAGGUAAUGGCUCACCAAGGCAUCGAUCGGUAGCCGGCCUGAGAGGGCGGACGGCCACACUGGCACUGAGAUACGGGCCAG